UGGCAACCCACUCCAGUAUUCUUGCCUGGAAAACCCCAUGGACGGAGAAGCCUUGUGGGCUACAGUCCAUGGGGUCGCACAGAGUCAGACAUGACGGAACAACUUUACUAUGAACUGAUGGGCUGAACUGUUCUCCUGCUUUUUAUUUUUUAGCACCUGAAACCUCUAUGGAUAUUUGACUCUCUUCCUGAUAAACUAGCCAGGCAAUUGGACAGUACCCUAGAUUUCUGUGCCUUUGCUGGUUUCAACUUGUAUAGUGGAAAGACUGCUGACUACCCUCCAAUAUGGUACUUUACGCCUGACAUUUUGAAGAUACUCCCCAAGCAUCCUUUUCCACUUCUUGCCAGAAUGAUGGUGAUAUGGAAACCAAGAAGAGCAUUUAGUGGUCUCCUGUGGAAAACCUGACUGUUUGCAUUAGUUGGC
rnacentral:lncRNA from 1 species